UGGCACACCUGCUGAGUUUCUUCAGCCUCUGUAUGUUUGUUGUAACACUAAAACAAUAUCAUUUUAACACGGGACCAAGAGGGAAAACUCGAUGUCAACAGUUCCGUGAGAAUUGGGUUGAGAGAACUGGAGGUGCGAACUGGAGGUGGACAAGCUGAGCUCCGAGAGGGCUUGAGUGGAGAUAAACAAGAGAAAUAUGUUCUCCAUGUGAAAGAUGAGAGCUGCAAACACUUAGAGAACCACCCGGUCCUGGGUACGGGAAUCUCCUGGUCUGAACUGGACACGGAGCACAGGAAUCACGCAGUCUGAACUGGACAAGGAGCACAGGAGUACCCCGGUCUGUACAGGGCAUCCAGUACACAGGAAAUAGAACUAGAGGGAGCCCUUGGAAAAGGAGUCUGUUUCAUAAGUCCCUAUAGGAAGUGAACCAGCUCUGGAAGAGGAAGAGGAGAGAAUGGGCAGAGUCGGUGAGCUCUCUGAUUGACGUCUCUCACAGUCAGACCAAAUAUUUCUGAAGCAUCAUGAAUUUCCUGAAACUUCGGAAACUGUUCGGUGAAAUGGAGGUGACAUUGAGCAGCAGAUCAGACUUCCUUGGCAAAUUUGGGAAGCACCUUCAACCUACAAAACAUCUUUAGCAAUGUGAAGAGCCGUUUCACCACUUUUGAUGUAACCAACAACAAGAAAGCAAAAUUAAACAGAUUUUCCACUUAAUUUAAAGCUCUAGGAUACUAGUCCCCAAGUCUGUUUAAAUCUGCUGGGACCUUACGUAGCCCAAAUUUGUUCAAAUCGGUCCAAAUCUGUCCUAAUCCUGGACCUGAUCUGUCCCAACCUGUUCCAAUUCUAGACCUGAGCUGGCCAGAUCCUGGACCCGAGCCCCCAAUCAGUUACAAAGUGGUUGUCGACCCCCUCUCUGAUUUAUAGAACUGAAACACACAGAGGCAUGCCUCACCCUAUAAUCUGUUAAACGAGCCCCAAUCUGUUAGAAAGGAGUGGUUAAAUAAAAUAAACCUCUGACACUCACUGUAUAAUCAAGUAACAACUUGUUUAUCUAACUCUAACAAUAAACAAGUUAACUGAACUAUUA